rnacentral:lncRNA from 1 species
CUGAGGUACCGGGGACGGUACCAGGAGUGACACGGCGGGCGGAGCGGCGGCUGCGCGGGCCUCAGCUGCGUUGUUGCUGCUUUUUCUUCAUCUUAUAAGUUGUGUGGGUCCGCUCUNNNNNNNNNNNNNNNNNNNNNNNNNNNNNNNNNNNNNNNNNNNNNNNNNNGGCGCAGGUGCGCGUGCGCCGCCCGGGCCGCCAUUUUGGUGGUUCAGCGGCUUCUCUGAGGAAUCAGCCUCGCACUGCGGGUCCUGAAACCUGCCGGUGUGCUGGGACGGUGCUGAGGGCACGGUUAGCUCGUCCCCAGGUCUGCGGCGGGCUGCGUGCCCAUGAACACCGCCCCGAAGCGAAGGGAAGCUGUUUGAAUGGCCUCAGAAGGGCAAAGUGAGGAUACAGAGCAUCCAUCUGAGCCUCCUGCAGCUCCUGUUCAGAGUAGCAGAACACUUCAAUGGGGAGCCAUACUUGCUGCAGUGAAAGAUCAGCUGCCAUCUCUGGACUCUGACACCUCCACAUCUGAUUGUGAGAGUGAUGGGGAGCUUUUCAUCUUCCAGAGAGAACAGCCAAACUUAAUUCCUGACCUGUCAGAACUGAUGGAGUUUUCCUUGGAAGACUCAAACAUGCAGCAAACCCAGGAAACAGAAAGACAUCCAUGGGAGAUCUGGGACAGAAAUCUGGAAAGUUUUGGUUUUCAGAAAAAAACAGAUGGUGCCCAAGUCAUUGCAAAAGAUGUACAAGUGAUUAAAGAUGAGACUUCCCUUGCUAGUCAUACUGAAGAAAUUCCAAGCCAAAAGGGAGCUGGUCUUGAAGAGUCUUUUGCAGAUUCCACAGAUCACCUUGAAGAGAAAGAACUGGGCAGGGAAAAAGGGAACACUUGGCUUAAUACAGCAUUGUCUAUGGAAGAGCUGGACAGUGAAAAGGAGAGAAGAAAUCUGAUAGAGACAAAGAUACUCUCCAAAAUAAUUCUGGAGCUGUCACCAGGCCACCAAGAGCUAGAUGUCAAGCCUCCCUCACCUGGCGUUAGCAACAGUCUAGAAAGCGUUGCGAAGGAAGAAACCUCCUCAGAUGAUCAUCUUCAAGAACUGACCCAUUUGUCAUUGCAGGUAAGUGGCCCAAACAAAGUUUUGGGGAGUGCUGCUUGGGGGCUAGAGGACACAGUGUGUUGCUUGCAGAAUCCUACUGAAAUAAAGAACUGAAAUACCAAAUUCUG